rnacentral:rRNA from 1 species
CCGGGCGACCGGCGCACGGGUGAGUAACACGUAUGCAACCUGGCCGUGACAGAUGGAUAACCCGGGAGAAAUCCCGCCUAAUACAACAUAAUGCCGGGAGGGGACAUCCCCUGCCGGCCAAAGGGGGCGACCCCGGUCACGGAUGGGCAUGCGGCGCAUUAGGUAGUUGGUGGGGCAACGGCCCACCAAGCCGACGAUGCGUAGGGGUUCUGAGAGGAAGGUCCCCCACAUUGGAACUGAGACACGGUCCAAACUCCUACGGGAGGCAGCAG